GAGAGAGAGCGGAGGUCGCCAGCAUUUAACCUCCAAAUCAGCACCUUCCCCGAGAACAACAGCAGCGCCCUCCAGCUGUUCUGUCACCAGGAAGGAGUUAAGGAUGUGAAUAUUUCUGAACUUAUGAAGAAAUUAGAUAUCCUUGGCGAUAAUGGGAAUUUGAGAAAUGAAGAACAGGUUGCAAUAAUCCAGGCUGGAACUGUGCUUGCCCUGUGUGAAAAGGUAGAGCCCAGCGGCAUUUCUGUCCAUACACCGUGUCUGAGCUUCCCGGCACCAUACAAGAAACUGUACAUUGGCGUCUCGCUUUGUUCUGGAAGCAUGGUUCUGGUCCGUCUGUGUCUGCAUGCGCACGUGCAUGCCUUUUUGUUUUCUGAUUGAACGUCACUCAUACUUAUGGUAGAAAACUUAGAGACCGUGGAAGGAAAUCGAAACCCCCUUCAAGGAAACCAUCUGCGACAGUUGGGCUAUUUCCUUCCAGUUUUUUCCCACGCCCUUUUAAAAAACUUGGUCAGGAUCAUACUUGAGUUUUUAAUCCUGCUUCAUAAGCUUCCACCAUGAGAAUGAACGGCCCUGCAUCAUUCCACCUGUAGCCACACGCUCGGUGCUGAUUCUUUCUCUGUUAAGAUAUUGAGGGCGUUUCUGCUCUUUUUUCUAUUUACCAUCAUGCAGCGAUGAGCGUCUUUACCCAUAAGUUUCUAUCUACAUAUUAAAACACUUCUACAGGAUAGAGUCUAGAAGUGGACUCACUGGG